rnacentral:rRNA from 1 species
UGGGGAAUAUUGCACAAUGGGCGAAAGCCUGAUGCAGCGACGCCGCGUGAGGGAUGACGGCCUUCGGGUUGUAAACCUCUUUCAGCAGGGAAGAAGCCACAAGUGACGGUACCUACAGAAGAAGCGCCGGCUAACUACGUGCCAGCAGCCGCGGUAAUACGUAGGGCGCAAGCGUUGUCCGGAAUUAUUGGGCGUAAAGAGCUCGUAGGCGGUUUGUUGCGUCUGCUGUGAAAGCCCGGGGCUUAACCCCGGGUGUGCAGUGGGUACGGGCAGACUAGAGUGCAGUAGGGGAGACUGGAAUUCCUGGUGUAGCGGUGGAAUGCGCAGAUAUCAGGAGGAACACCGAUGGCGAAGGCAGGUCUCUGGGCUGUUACUGACGCUGAGGAGCGAAAGCAUGGGGAGCGAACA